rnacentral:rRNA from 1 species
UACGUAGGCAGCAAGCGUUGUUCGGAAUUACUGGGCGUAAAGCGUGCGCAGGCGGUUUUGUAAGUCUGUCGUGAAAUCCCCGGGCUUAACCUGGGAAUUGCGAUGGAGACUGCAAGGCUAGAAUCUGGCAGAGGGGGGUAGAAUUCCACGUGUAGCAGUGAAAUGCGUAGAGAUGUGGAGGAACACCGAUGGCGAAGGCAGCCCCCUGGGUCAAGAUUGACGCUCAUGCACGAAAGCGUGGGGAGCAAACAGG